GCCAUAGCAGCCAUCUUGUGAUAAUGAAGAAAAGUCCAAGAGAAUAGCGGAGAGAGACCUAAUCCUGACAUCUCUGGGACACUGAGCCAUUACCAGCAAUCAUCUACCUCCAAAAGUUUUGUUAUGCCCAACUUCCAACGACAGAAGGUGAAGGGGCCAUAUCCUCCUUCUUCCUGUCCUUGACAAAUACGUUUCCUCAGGAGGAACACCUUUAUUCAUCAUAAUCUCUUCAGGGGCAGGACAAAUUGGAGCACUGGGUAGUGAAUACAAUUUGCAAAUAGGCAAUAUAAGUAGAGAGAAAAUUAAUAUGUAUUCCUCAGCGCUCUAAAAGGAGAGGAAGAACAUUAAUAGCCAUUUCCUUGCAGAUAUAACUUUGAAAAUGUUAUUUCUGAUACAUCAGCGUGGGGCUCCGUAUGAGGAAAAUGGUUACAACGUGACAAGAAGCGAUUAGAUGUAAAAUGGCAUCUUUCCAGCACCCCUGCUGUCUCUUCAUCCUGUUCUUAUGGGACAGAGGAGGAGUCCUGUUUUGAUUUGUUCUGAAGAUCACAGUUCAGGCCUGGGGUCAGCUGAUUAUUUGUGUCGUGACCUUGGGCCAUUCCCUUCCACUUUCUAGACUUGAGUUUCCUCAUCAGUAGCUGGAGCGAAUGAUUUCUAAAGCAGUGAGUCUGGGUGACCACAAAUCCAAAUUACCUGAUGGUACUUGAGGGACAUAAAGAUGCUAGGGCACCACGUACUGAAUCCGAAUCCCAUUGGCCAAGUUCCAUAUAUUUGAAUGGAGGUCUGGGGAGGUUCUUCAACCUCCAAGUGGCAGAAACUCCCCAAGCCAAGCUGGAAGCUGGAAGGGUAACUGGGGCUUAGACACUGCUUCCUUCUUUCCCACUGGACAGUAGAAAGGUUCCCUUUCCCUCUCAAAAGUCCAGUUAUGAGCCCUCUCCCCAAGUCAGAGAUGACUCCCUUCCUGAGCCGGAUUAAGGCCAUGGAGUAUUUGGCAUGUUCCAGGCAAACUGGGGAAUCAGAUUGCUUUCUCAUUGCUGUUUUCAGGAUUUGUGAGACUAAUGCUAAGAAAUGAGCAGUUAGCAAGGUUCAUUAGCAAAUUCCUUUUUUCCCCUGCCUUUUUGAUGCCAGUCUCCUCCUUUUUUGAUUUCAGUUACAAAAGUAGUAUUUGCAUAUUGCAAAAAAUCAUGGAAGAAGCAGCCCUCUUUCCCCUCACCUUUCCCAAACGUGCUCCCUUCCCUACUCCUAGCUAAUGUUGGCAUUUUAAUAGACAACAACAGAGCCCUUUAAGAUCUGAAGAGAAGGGAAAUCUGAGGCCCUGAGAAUAUUAAUAAUAGUAAUAAUAAUUAUUAUCCUAAUAAAUAAGAACCACCAGCUAACAUCUGGGCAAUGAAUACUCAUGCCAGACAUUACGAUUUCAUUUCACAUACAUUUUAAGAAUUUAAUCAUUUGGAUGGGAAGAGCAGGGAGGUGUUUUGGAUUAUAGAGCAUCCUCAGUCCCCUCACAUGUGCACACAUACUCCAGAGAAGGCACUGGAAAACUUUCCUCUCUCCUACACUUUCUGAGCUUCUUCUUUUAGGCUGAAAGGAGGCUGCUUCAGCAACAAAGAGCAUUUUGUAUGCAGACAUCCAUUUUUUUUUCUUUUUCUUUCUUUUUUUUUUUUUUAAUUGCAAUCUGAAUGUGGUGAGUCUGAACUAGGGGCCAGGGCAUGAUUAAUGACAGCAACCAUCUGAACCUGCCCAGGGGCUGGGGCUGGGCCUGAAAGAAAUGAGGCCAGGCUGACUGGAAUUUCGGCUGAGGAUAACUAGGAAAGCUCAUAAAACUUUAACUGGCCUGUCCUUCCUUCAGCUGCUGAUGCACGGGGGUUGGAAGAUUUAAGGAAUCAGUUCCUGUUUCCCUGGUUCUGGCCGACCCCAGAAUCAACUCCCUUGAUUGGAAAUAAACAGGAUCUUCCUUUUUGUCCCCAGGAAUGUGAUGGAGGAAGGACUCUAGGGGAAAAGGUCUCGUCUGCCAAAGAAUAAUAAUAAUAACAAAGAUGACAAUAGGAAUAAAAUAUUGCCCUCUUCAUCAUUGGCGAUAAGGAAGUGUCCAGCUGUAUGUGUUGAGCCUUCUCGCUCUCCGCAUACACAUUAGAGCUCCAGAACUCAGCCCAAGUUUGAAUUUUCUGUUCUGUGGGCCUCAUGAGUGUACUGUCCACAGUGGGCUACAUGGCUCCGUUUUAGUGUCAGAAAAUAGGAUCACAAUUACAUUACUUCAUGUCUGAGCAUGAACCCCUCCUGAAGGGUGUGUCUCUGUCAUGUGUAGCCCUGUGCUUAGUGCCUAGAACAGUGCCUGGUCCUUGGCAGCUGGGGCAGAGGGGCUAGGGUAUAAAAUGGGGGCAAGGCAGGGGGCCGUGGAGUGAGAGGGAACUGAGGAAGAACCUGGGUGACAGCAUGACCUUCCCUUCCCUUGGUGCUCUGGGGCAGGGGCAGAGAGCUGUGUUCAGGGAGAAGCCCAGCCAGACUUGUCUCCUAUAUUCACUCUUGAAACUCCUCGUGUUCCCAAAGAAUCAUCUGCCCACUUCUGGACCAGCUGCAUCUCAGCAUUUGCUUUCUCCCCUCCCAAAGGGAGGUCUGUGAUACCCGAAGAACCCUACCUUGUUCCUCUGUUCUAAGGUCUAACUUCCCAAAGUUAAGGGGAGUAAGGAGAGGCGAAUCUAGUCCAUUUCUGGAGGGCCCCUCUCCCAGUACAUUCAGCAAAUUAUUACUCUGCUCAAGAAACUUCAAUAGCUCCCUAUUGUCAUCAACUUACAUUUCAGACAUUAAA